rnacentral:rRNA from 1 species
UGCAAGUCGAGCGGACAGAAGGGAGCUUGCUCCCGGAUGUUAGCGGCGGACGGGUGAGUAACACGUGGGUAACCUGCCUGUAAGACUGGGAUAACUCCGGGAAACCGGAGCUAAUACCGGAUAGUUCCUUGAACCGCAUGGUUCAAGGAUGAAAGACGGUUUCGGCUGUCACUUACAGAUGGACCCGCGGCGCAUUAGCUAGUUGGUGGGGUAAUGGCUCACCAAGGCGACGAUGCGUAGCCGACCUGAGAGGGUGAUCGGCCACACUGGGACUGAGACACGGCCCAGACUCCUACGGGAGGCAGCAGUAGGGAAUCUUCCGCAAUGGACGAAAGUCUGACGGAGCAACGCCGCGUGAGUGAUGAAGGUUUUCGGAUCGUAAAGCUCUGUUGUUAGGGAAGAACAAGUGCGAGAGUAACUGCUCGCACCUUGACGGUACCUAACCAGAAAGCCACGGCUAACUACGUGCCAGCAGCCGCGGUAAUACGUAGGUGGCAAGCGUUGUCCGGAAUUAUUGGGCGUAAAGGGCUCGCAGGCGGUUUCUUAAGUCUGAUGUGAAAGCCCCCGGCUCAACCGGGGAGGGUCAUUGGAAACUGGGAAACUUGAGUGCAGAAGAGGAGAGUGGAAUUCCACGUGUAGCGGUGAAAUGCGUAGAGAUGUGGAGGAACACCAGUGGCGAAGGCGACUCUCUGGUCUGUAACUGACGCUGAGGAGCGAAAGCGUGGGGAGCGAACAGGAUUAGAUACCCUGGUAGUCCACGCCGUAAACGAUGAGUGCUAAGUGUUAGGGGGUUUCCGCCCCUUAGUGCUGCAGCUAACGCAUUAAGCACUCCGCCUGGGGAGUACGGUCGCAAGACUGAAACUCAAAGGAAUUGACGGGGGCCCGCACAAG